CGGUGUUGAUGUGAGUUGUGGUGUAGGUUGCAGAUAUGGCUCGGAUCUGGCUUUGCUGUGGCUCUGGCAUAGGCCGGUGGCUACAGCUCCAAUUGGACUCCCAGCCUGGGAACCUCCAUAUGCUGUGGGUGUGCCCCCCCCCAAAAAAAAGGCUAAACUCACCCAUUUAAUGUUCCAGCCCAGAAACCUGGCCCUUGGUGGCUCACAGUGCUUUUGGUCAGAAGUGGUCACAUGAUCCCAUCUACCCACAGGAAGGCCAGGAAGUAUAGUUUUGCUGUGUGCCUAGAAGAUAGCAAGUUAGAAAUACUUGGCAAAUAGCAUAAGAGAACCCCCCAACACAUACACGCAUUUUAUCACUCACUCAAAGGUUUUUCGAGGAAAUUUCUAGUUAAUAGUGAGCUUGGAAGCAUAGAGAAUAUUCACAUAAUUCCUCUCCCUUUUCUUAUAGUGUUCUUACCCUUACCGCUGAGACAGAUCGCACUUCGUAACUCUGGAAAGCUUGGCCAUAGCAAUUAAGGGAUAAGUGGUUCUGUUGUCUCGAAGUGUAAAAUGAAGAACUUGCCCCUUGCUUACCUCUUCAGCUGCUCUCAUCAAUACUUCAGAGGCUCUUAUGAUGGGUAAAUUAUGCUCUAGACACCUAUCCAAGGAUUGCCCCCGGGUUCACGUUGAAUGUUGUCACAGUCAAGAUCAUAGAAAAUCUGCACAAGUUUUUAUGAAUUUAUUCCAAGAAAUUAGAGAGUAUACAAAUAGUACAGAUUAGCUGCUUCAUGUUUCAUAGUAAAAUGUUGGAAACAGUCUAAAUGUCCAACAGGAGGGGAUUAGCCAUGUCACCUUCUGGAAUGUGUAAAAAUGAAAUAUGUGUUACCAUUAAAAUUCUAUUUGAGGGGUUCCUGUCAUGGCGCAGUGGAGACAAAUCCAACUAGGAACCAUGAGGUUGAGGGUUUGAUCCCUGGCCUUACUCAGUGGGUUAAGGAUCCGGCGUUGCUGUGAGCUGUGGUGUAGAUUGCAGAUGUGGCUCGGAUCUGGCGUUGCUAUGGCUGUGGUAUAGGCCAGCAGUUGUAGCUCCGAUUCUACCCCUAGUCUGGGAACCUCCAUAUGCUGCAGGUGCAGCCCUAAAAAGACAACAGACCAAAAAAAAAAAAAAUUCUAUUUGAGAAGAAUAAUUAAUGAGAUUGGGGAAAUGUUCACAAAAUAUUGAUUGCUAAGUUUUUCGAAAACAGGCACUAGAACAGAACAAAGAGCAGAUUCUGCUUUUUAAAAAUGUAUUGUAACUGCAAAGAAACUAAUAUGUGACUAGGGUUUAUCUUUUUGUGGUAAUAUUAUGAGGGGUUUUGGUGCCUUUUCCCUUUUCUUUUUUUAGUUAAGCAGGAGUGACUUUUAUUGCAUAUAAGGAGAUAAUGUAAAUAUCUCUGGCCUCUGACAUACAUUAAUUUCAAGUAAUAUAUGUGGUGCUAAUUCUUUUAGACAAAUAAGAGGCGCACAGCGGAAACAAAUCCGACUAGGAACCAUAAGGUUUCAGGUUUGAUCCCUGGCCUCGCUGUUCAGUGGGUUAAGGAUCCGGCAUUGCCAUGAGCUGUGGUGUAGGUCGCAGACAUGGCUCAGAUCCCACAUUGCUGUGGCUCUGGUGUAGGCCGGCAGGUGUAGCUCAGAUCAGACCUCUAGCCUGGGAACCUCCAUAUGCUGCGAGUGUGGCCCUAAAAAGCAAACAAACAAUCGAAAAAACCAAAAAGAGUGUCCUGUGGAUCAGGAGACAGUUUGACGUGGGUUCACACUUGUCCGGGCAUAGACGCUUUCCCGUUUCUUGCCCUUUCUUUUACUGAGACGCAGUAUAGAUCUUUCGUGGCAUUUUGACUUGACAUUUCACAGCUGCCGCAAAUCCACUAAGCAGGGACAUGACACUGGCACUCUGAGGCCGCUGGUAGCACAUUGGUUUGUCAAGAGAUGCUAAAUUUGCUGAGAGAGUGAAAAGCUGGCAUGUAUUUAUUUGGGGUUGAUACAAACUCGUAUGAAAUAGGGGCCCGUUCUGGAAGAACUCGUAACACUCAUUCAUCUUAUGUUGUUCCCCGAGCUCUAAUGCUACAGCUGUCAUCCACUCUCAAUGAACGAUUGUCAGAUUGUCAAUCCUCCAUAAUACAGAACAAUUUUCAUUCCCUGUGUUGAAAUAUCCCCAUUGUAGUAUAAUUCAGUUCAUAUUAACAAUGCUUUGAUGACAAUCCCUCUCCACUCCACCCUUUCCACCCUCCCCCUCUCCUUUUCUUAACCAGAAGGAAAUGUAUUUUGACAAUAUCUCCAGUGUUAAUAAUUUUCUGCUUUUAAAACAUUUUGGGCCCAUAGCCCUCACUGAAACUUCAGGGAACACACCAGUCUUUUUUUUUUUUUUUUUCCCUCUAUCUUGGGAUUAGGUAGUGCCUUACCCAGAAGAACUAAGUGUAUUUUUACCCAUUUGUCUCAUUUAUUCUUAAAACAUCCCCCUGGAAAAAGAGCUUGUAUUAUGAUUCCCAUUUUAUAAGGGAGCAUAUUUAGAACUCAGCCGUCUUCACGUUAGGGUCUACAAUCUGUUCAUUCGAAAAGGCUGCUUAUUUUUCCGAGUAUUAACAGUGGUGUCAGGAGCUGCUUAUAUGGUGGAAUUAACUACCCUAAUGAAUUUAUAUUUACUGAUUUUCCCUAGAGGGGAAACUGGUUCUAAGUAUAAGGCUUCACCAAUUUUCAAGGUACUUUCCUGUCACCAUAGACUUAUUUUAAACUGAUUGAGAGUGUUGUCUUUGUUCGAAUUUUCCCAAGAGCUGAAUCUAGGUGGGUACAGUUGAUAUCAUUAAAAUAUACCAGGGCACACUUGUGAAGCUGCUCCAGCUACAGUGCUGCACUUC
rnacentral:lncRNA from 1 species